CCUACGGGUGGCAGCAGUGAGGAAUAUUGGUCAAUGGACGAGAGUCUGAACCAGCCAAGUAGCGUGCAGGAUGACGGCCCUAUGGGUUGUAAACUUCUUUUAUAUGGGAAUAAAACGUUCCACGUGUGGGAUUUUGUAUGUACCAUAUGAAUAAGGAUCGGCUAACUCCGUGCCAGCAGCCGCGGUAAUACGGAGGGUCCGAGCGUUAUCCGGAUUUAUUGGGUUUAAAGGGAGCGUAGGUGGAUUGUUAAGUCAGUUGUGAAAGUUUGCGGCUCAACCGUAAAAUUGCAGUGGAAACUGGCAGUCUUGAGUCCAGUAGAGGUGGGCGGAAUUCGUGGUGUAGCGGUGAAAUGCUUAGAUAUCACGAAGAACUCCGAUUGCGAAGGCAGUUCACUGGACUGGAACUGACACUGAGGCUCGAAAGUGUGGGUAUCAAACAGGAUGAGAUACCCCUGUAGUC
rnacentral:rRNA from 1 species